GACGAACGCUGGCGGCGUGCUUAACACAUGCAAGUCGAACGGAAAGGCCCUGCUUUUGUGGGGUGCUCGAGUGGCGAACGGGUGAGUAACACGUGAGUAACCUGUCCUUGACUUUGGGAUAACUUCAGGAAACUGGGGCUAAUACUGGAUAGGAGCUCCUGCUGCUAGGUGGGGGUUGGAAAGUUUCGGUGGUUGGGGAUGGACUCGCGGCUUAUCAGCUUGUUGGUGGGGUAGGGGCUUACCAAGGCUUUGACGGGUAGCCGGCCUGAGAGGGUGCGCGGCCACGUUGGGACUGAGAUGCGGCCCAGACUCCUACGGGAGGCAGCAGUGGGGAAGAUUGCACUAUGGGCGGAAGCCUGAUGCAGCAACGCCGCGUGCGGGAUGACGGCCUGCGGUUUGUAAACCGCUUUCGCCUGUGACGAAGCGUUAGUGACGGUAAUGGGUAAAGAAGCACCGGCUAACUACGUG
rnacentral:rRNA from 1 species